CAGGCCUAACACAUGCAAGUCGAACGGAGUUAUUUUGAUUGAUUCCUUCGGGAUGAUUGAUUUUUAACUUAGUGGCGGACGGGUGAGUAACGCGUGAGUAACCUGCCUUUGAGAGGGGGAUAACGUUCUGAAAAGAACGCUAAUACCGCAUGACAUAUCGAAGCCGCAUGACUUUGAUAUCAAAGAUUUAUCGCUCAAAGAUGGACUCGCGUCCGAUUAGUUAGUUGGUGAGGUAACGGCUCACCAAGACCGCGAUCGGUAGCCGGACUGAGAGGUUGAACGGCCACAUUGGGACUGAGACACGGCCCAGACUCCUACGGGAGGCAGCAGUGAGGAAUAUUGGUCAAUGGGCGAGAGCCUGAACCAGCCAAGUAGCGUGGAGGAUGACGGCCCUACGGGUUGUAAACUCCUUUUAUCAGGGGAUAAAGUCCGCUACGUGUAGCGGUUUGCAGGUACCUGAUGAAUAAGGACCGGCUAAUUCCGUGCCAGCAGCCGCGGUAAUACGGAAGGUCCGGGCGUUAUCCGGAUUUAUUGGGUUUAAAGGGAGCGCAGACGGGCUGUUAAGCGUGACGUGAAAUCCGGGGGCUCAACCUUCGGCUGCGUCGCGAACUGGCGGCCUUGAGUGGACGGUAGGCAGGCGGAAUUCGUGGUGUAGCGGUGAAAUGCUUAGAUAUCACGAAGAACCCCGAUUGCGAAGGCAGCUUGCCGCAGUCUUACUGACGUUCAUGCUCGAAGGUGCGGGUAUCGAACAGGAUUAGAUACCCUGGUAGUCCGCACGGUAAACGAUGGAUGCCCGCUGUUGGCGACACACAGUCAGCGGCCAAGCGAAAGCAUUAAGCAUCCCACCUGGGGAGUACGCCGGCAACGGUGAAACUCAAAGGAAUUGACGGGGGCCCGCACAAGCGGAGGAACAUGUGGUUUAAUUCGAUGAUACGCGAGGAACCUUACCCGGGCUUGAACUGCAGCGGAAGGAUACAGAGAUGUUGACGCCCUUCGGGGCCACUGUGGAGGUGCUGCAUGGUUGUCGUCAGCUCGUGCCGUGAGGUGUCGGCUUAAGUGCCAUAACGAGCGCAACCCCUUUCUUCAGUUGCCAUCGGGUGAUGCCGGGCACUCUGGAGACACUGCCACCGCAAGGUGUGAGGAAGGUGGGGACGACGUCAAAUCAGCACGGCCCUUACGUCCGGGGCUACACACGUGUUACAAUGGGUGGUACAGAGAGAUAGUGCUGCGCAAGCCGCAUUGAAUCAUGAAAUCCAUCCUCAGUUCGGAUUGGGGUCUGCAACCCGACCCCAUGAAGCUGGAUUCGCUAGUAAUCGCGCAUCAGCCAUGGCGCGGUGAAUACGUUCCCGG
rnacentral:rRNA from 1 species